CUCACUUUAAAACGGCACAAGAUUUCUCCAGACCGAACACUAAAUACAAACACUAAUCUAAAGGAAACUUUGACCUCAGUACCCAGUCACAAAGUUUCUAAAGUGCUGGGAAACAAAAGGACGCAAGACCUCUAUCAGCGACUUAAAACAUGGGUGUAAAUUGGAGAAAGAGCAUCUUUUUAAAAAGUGGCCUUCAAGGAACAAUAGGGUCCCUAAAGAGGGCCCUCAGCUGGCCCAGGAACAGAUGAGCCAAGCACUUCAGUACUUUAAACAGAAGAAGCUACAUAUCCAAGGCUUUCUCAGCUUCAGGACUACUGAGAAGAACAGGAGAAUGGAACUAACUGGAUAGCUCUUUGAACAAGCUGACAGAGGCACAAUAGGCAAAAGGUCUCCUUCGAUGCUACAUGAUUCUUUCAUCUAUAUUAAAUGUCUUAAGAUAACAAUUUGCAGCAAUUAGGUUAUUUUCAAGUGUAGUUCCUGUCAUAAUUUAGUAAAGAUAGCAACAAUUUAAUCACAGCAAGGUCUCAUUAACAGGAAUGUAAUAAUGACCACAUAAUCUACACACUGGCAUGAAUUAGGAGCAGAGUAGGCCAUUCAGGCCCUCAAACCUGCUCCAUCAUUCAAUAAGAUUGUGGCUGAUCUGAUUGUAACCUUAAAUCAGCACUCCUACCUACCCUGGUCACCUUUCACUUUACUUUCUGUACCUACAAAUAACAUUUUCUGUUUCAUGCACAAGGACAGCAAGAUCUCUCUGAACCUCUAGGCUCUGAGACUUCUCACCAUUUAGAAAAUAUGCUUUUCUAUUCUUUUUGCAAAGGUGGAUGAUUUCAUUCUUUCCCACAUUACACUCUUUUUGCCAGAUCUUUGGCCAUGCACUUAACCAAUUAAUAUCAUCUUGUGUUCUCUUCACAACUUAUUUUCCUACCUUUCAUUGUGUCAUUGUAGAAUGUGGAUGUUGUUUGAAGGAUGAAUACUGGCAAGAACACUUUAGUCCUUCUUGGGGCCAAAGUGCCAUAAAGCAGUUUGCAUAAAGAAUUAAUUUUGAAAGGUACAGUGUGUAAGAAUAUAGUUAUGAUGUGGAGGAACCGAUGUUGGACUGGAGUGAACAAAGUUAAAAAUCAUACAACAUAAACUUUCAGAGCUUUGCUCUUUCGUCAGGUAGCUAGUGGGUUAGGAUCAUAGGACAUAGAAUUUGUAGUAAAAGAUCAAGUGUCAUACAACU